AUGAGCAACCUGGUAGUUUUUCGUCACGGUUCCGUGAAUUGUGGUAGUUUUUGGUUAAAUACUCUUCAGAUGGAGAUGACGACACCAUCAUAUUUAAGUAAUGACAUUGAAAUUGAGCAUGCAAAAGCAGGGCACCAUCAGACAAGACGGGAGGAGGUAGAAGAUGCAGCAGCAGGAGGAGGUCUACUGCUCCUGCCUCGGCAACUACAGGAGUUGGUCAUCUCUGGUUGCAGAGAGCUGCGGUUACUCUCCGAUUCACUUGUCAAGGACAGCACACACGGAGGAGGGCUCCAGAGUCUUUGCUCCCUCCAAUCGUUGCGCAUAUAUGAUUGCCCCAGGUUCCUCUCGUCCUAUUCAUCCUCCGCCGCAUCUUGUUUCCCCUUCCCGACCUCCCUGCAACAACUCAUGCUGGAGGGCGUGGAGAGCAUGGAGACGCUGGCUCCCCUCUCAAAUCUCAUCUCUCUCACCGCUUUAUUCGUGCGUAAUUGUGGGGAUCUAAGAGGCGAGGGCUUAUGGCCUCUCGUCGCCCAGGGCCGACUCACAGGAUUACUCGUCACUGAAACCCCCCAAUUCUUCACUGGUUCUGAGCCCUCACGGCCACAUGACCAAGAGAUUCCUUUCUCUUCAUCCAAACUCCAACAUCUCUGGACAGAUGACUUGGCAGGAGUCCUUACCGCGCCCAUAUGCACACUCCUCUCUUCCUCCCUCACCAAAUUAAUUUUGUAUGCCAACAAAGAGGUGGAGCGCUUCACAGAGAAGCAAGAGGAGGCCCUUCACCUCCUCAAUUCCCUCCAGGAACUCAACUUUUGGAAGUGUUGGAAGCUGCAGCGCCUCCCUGCAGGGCUAACCAAGCUUGCCAGCCUCAAGAUAUUACACAUUUGGGGGUGUCCAGCCAUCCAAUUGCUGUCCAAGGACGGACUACCAAGCUCUCUGCAAGAAUUAGAGAUCAGAGACUGUCCUGCCAUCAAAUCUCUGCCCAAGGACGGCCUGCCAAGUUCACUGCGGAAAUUACAAGUUUCUAAUGGCAUCAGCAAGGAGCUUAAAAAGCAGUGCCGCAAGUUAAAAGGAACCAUUCCAAUAAUCAUAGACUACAACAACGACGACUACUAA
rnacentral:rRNA from 1 species